GGAUCAUUAUCGAAUGAAUGUAGAGUCGGUUGUCGCUGGCCCUCUCUGAUGGGCAUGUGCAUGCCUUCUCUUUCAUCCACACACACUUGUGCACUUGUGAGACGGAAAAGUGCCCUCGGGCGCCCGUCUGCUCUACAUAAAUUCAUAGAUAUAAAUAAAUCGAAUGCAAUCGAUGUAACACAUCUUUAAACUAAGUUUCAACAACGGAUCUCUUGGCUCUCGCAUCGAUGAAGAACGCAGCGAAAUGCGAUAAGUAAUGUGAAUUGCAGAAUUCAGUGAAUCAUCGAAUCUUUGAACGCACCUUGCGCUCCUUGGUAUUCCUUGGAGCAUGCCUGUUUGAGUAUCGUGAAAUCCUCGAAAUAGAUCUUUUGUUCAUUCGAUUGAUUUUAUUUUGGACUUGGAGGUCUUGCAGAUUUCACGUCUGCUCCUCUCAAAUGCAUUAGCUGGAUCUCCGUGAGCUCGGUUCUACUCGGCGUGGAUAAGCAAUCACUCGCCGAGGACACUGUAAAAAGUGGCCGGGAUUGCAGAUGAACUGCUUCCAAUCGUCUAUUAGCUUAGACAAUCGAACCUUUACGAUCUGAUCUCAAAUCAGGUAGGACUUACCCGCUGAACUUAAGCAUAUCAAUAAGCGGAGGAAAAGAAACUAACAAGGAUUCCCUUAGUAACGGCGAGUGAAGCGGGAAGAGCUCAAAUUUAAAAUCUGGCAGUGUGUUCUGUCCGAGUUGUAGUCUAGAGAAGCUUCAUCCG
rnacentral:rRNA from 1 species